GAUCCUUCAAUGUCCAGUACUACGCGGUAUGUAUUUUUCAUCUCAGGCUUUUGCUUAAUGAAAAUCUACAUUUUGUUAUAAAUUGUCAGAGCUGAGUUCUGAUGAUAGUUGACAAUGCGUUUCCUUUGCAUAUUACUGUUGCAUCAAUAUGAAUUUCGAUUGAUUUGGAAGUUGGCAUCGUUUUGGUUAGCUUUUGCCUGUUGCUUUUUAUGGGUUGUUUUCUUCAACAAGUAUUAGUUUUGGUGAAUUAUGUUGGGUAUUUAUGGGAUUCGGGGUUUGGUUAUGUUUGAUUAUUAUGCUCUUCUUGAAAUCUCAUGUUUGGUUGCUGGGAAAUUGAAGCAGGACAAGAAGAGAGAAGAAAAUGCAGUGAACCCUUUUUGGUUGUUAGUUUGAGUUUAUUAUGCAAGUCUAUUGGUUUUACUGUUAUUUAUUUUGUUGCUUGAAGAUUAUUAGUUUGAUUAUUGAGUUGGUAGUGCUAUAGGAAUUUUAGAUUGCCGUACUGAUGAGUUUAGGAUUUGACAGGAGAGGAAUACCAGUUUGAAGAAUUUGUGCAGGCGGAUUCCGAACUUCGCUCCCCAGAAGCAGGAGGUCCAAAACAUCACAGUGCACUCCCACUGGUACUGCACUGCUCAGACUUGUUUGGUUUACAAUAGCAAUCCUAAGCUUGAUGUCAACUAUUCUGCCGUGGAAAACUGAAGUUAUCUCGAAGAAAGUAGUCAUUGCACUUGGCAAGAGUGUAGCUGGAAGUAUCAAAGAGUAAGGUUUGAGCUUCUUUUUCUUCUAAUAACCUGAAAUGGUUUAUUUCAGUUGUGACUAUGGAUUUUGAGGGUCUGAUUAUGAUAGAAGCUAUUUGAAGAGUAUAGGAUUAUAGAGGGAUUUUAUAGUAGGUUGGGAGAAGCCCAAUGUGUUUAUGAAUGUUCCUAUUUGACAUCCAACUAUAUUGUUGUUCGGUUGUCAAAGCUCGCUGUUCUUUUUUUUCUUUUUCAUGUUGCAUACAUAAAUAUGCUCGAAGGUGAUCCACUGAUCUAGAAUGUGAUCUUUGGGUUGUCAAAGAAUGCAUCUAGGUCCUAGGUUUGGCCCAGUCUAAUCAUUAAGAGCCGAGGACUUAAGGUGGGGGUGCACACAAACAUGAUAGUUUAUAGGCUGAAUGCUUAUUCUUUUGUACAUUUGGAAAUGAAGUUCAGAGUAUGGCAUAGGAAUGGAGGUGUCAACAAGUGGUGACAUCUAUAGCUAUGAAAUCCUGCUAUUUGAGAUGCU
rnacentral:lncRNA from 1 species